AUGGCUUGAUGAAAUAUACUCUUUCUUUAUCUUAAAAUUGGAAAUUAAUUUUUGAGUUAAAAAUCUUAAAUGUUUUUGAGGGACGAGAAGACCCUAUAGAACUUUAUUUAUUGUUUAUUUUUUAGAAAAUAAUAAUGUAUUUUUUAUUUAAAUUUAUAAAUUUGGUUGGGGUUACUGAAAAAAAUCAAUAAUUUUUUAUACUAUUUAGAACAUUUAUAUAUGCUUUUUUGAUCCAAUAUUGUUGAUUAUAAGAUUAAGUUACCUUAGGGAUAACAGCGUUAUUACUUUGGAGAGUUCUUAUCGAUAAAGUAGUUUGCGACCUCGAUGUUGGAUUAAAAUUAGUCCUAGGGGUAGUUUUUUGGGAUAUAGGUCU
rnacentral:rRNA from 1 species